rnacentral:rRNA from 1 species
UUGACCUCAAAUCAGGUAGGACUACCCGCUGAACUUAAGCAUAUCAAUAAGCGGAGGAAAAGAAACUAACAAGGAUUCCCCUAGUAACUGCGAGUGAAGCGGGAAGAGCUCAAAUUUGUAAUCUGGCAGUUCUUGAACUGUCCGAGUUGUAAUCUAGAGAAGUGUUACCUGUGCUGGACCAUGUACAAGUCUCCUGGAAUGGAAGCAUCACAGAGGGUGAGAAUCCCGUCUUUGACAUGGACUGCCUGCACGUUAUGGUGCGCUCUCAAAGAGUCGAGUUGUUUGGGAAUGCAGCUCAAAAUGGGUGGUAAAUGCCAUCUAAAGCUAAAUAUUGGCGAGAGACCGAUAGCGAACAAGUACCGUGAGGGAAAGAUGAAAAGAACUUUGGAAAGAGAGUUAAACAGUACGUGAAAUUGCUGAAAGGGAAACGCUUGAAGUCAGUCGCGUCGGCUAGAAAUCAGCCUUGCUUUUGCUUGGUGUACUUUCUGGUUUGACGGGUCAGCAUCAAUUUCGAUCAUUGGAUAAAGUCAUCGGGAAUGUGGCAUCUUAGGAUGUGUUAUAGCCCAGUGUCGCAUACAGUGG